CUCAGUUUGGAGGUGUCUGCAGUGGGAAGGGUGAACCCUCCAUACCAGAUGGCAUCCUGCAUCGCCCAAGAAAUCUGGACCCUGGAGAUCUUUCCUCAGUGACGUGGCUGUUUGGACACAGCCUUCUCCUCCUUCUGCUGCAAUAGCAAUGCUAGUGUCCCCAUGCAGCUGCAGUGAGGAGCUCUUGGCUUGGGCAGGAGCAAACCCUGGGCUCGGCGUAGCCGCGCCGGUGGCUAUGGAGUGAUCUGUGCUCUGGGUGCGUGGGCACAGCGGGGAGGCUGAAGCUGGCUGC
rnacentral:lncRNA from 1 species